GCCUGAGUUGACCAGCGGCCGGAGGCCACAAUGGCUCGAUUUUUUGAGGGUCUAACCAAGAAUAUCGCCAACAUCCUUAAACUCCAAAACUAUGUCGACUUGGACGUGAUGGUGCAGAAGGCCACCAAGAUUGAAAGGCAAUUGAAUAGUAGAGGACCUAAUCAAGUUUAUGCUAGUAAUGUUCUCUAGGGAUACCAAAGAUAUACUCGAAAAGAUGAAAAU
rnacentral:lncRNA from 1 species